CGUGCUNACCNCAUGCAAGUCGAACGGUGAACACGGAGCUUGCUCUGUGGGAUCAGUGGCGAACGGGUGAGUAACACGUGAGCAACCUGCCCCUGACUCUGGGAUAAGCGCUGGAAACGGCGUCUAAUACUGGAUAUGUGACGUGACCGCAUGGUCUGCGUCUGGAAAGAAUUUCGGUUGGGGAUGGGCUCGCGGCCUAUCAGCUUGUUGGUGAGGUAAUGGCUCACCAAGGCGUCGACGGGUAGCCGGCCUGAGAGGGUGACCGGCCACACUGGGACUGAGACACGGCCCAGACUCCUACGGGAGGCAGCAGUGGGGAAUAUUGCACAAUGGGCGCAAGCCUGAUGCAGCAACGCCGCGUGAGGGACGACGGCCUUCGGGUUGUAAACCUCUUUUAGCAGGGAAGAAGCGAAAGUGACGGUACCUGCAGAAAAAGCGCCGGCUAACUACGUGCCAGCAGCCGCGGUAAUACGUAGGGCGCAAGCGUUAUCCGGAAUUAUUGGGCGUAAAGAGCUCGUA
rnacentral:rRNA from 2 species